rnacentral:rRNA from 1 species
UGUAAGCGUAUACCAAAGUUGUUGCAGUUAAAACGCUCGUAGUCGGAAUUUGGCAGUUCCGGAUGUGUGCACGUCGUGUGCGCACUUCGCGGGGAUUGCUUUUGUGGUCUUGCGUAGGAUGAGGCACUUUUAUUAGUGAACGUCCUCACGCAACCACUUUUUACUGUGAGAAAAUCAGAGUGCUCAAAGCAGGCAUUUGCCGUGAAUGUAUUAGCAUGGAAUAAUAGAAUAGGACUUGGUUCUAUUUUGUUGGUUUGUCGGGACUGAGUAAUGAUUAAGAGGGACAGUUGGGGGCGUUUGUAUUUCGGUGCUAGAGGUGAAAUUCUUAGAUUACCGAAAGACAAACUGCUGCGAAAGCGUCUGCCAAGGAUGUUUUCAUUGA